UACGGAGGGUGCAAGCGUUAUCCGGAUUUACUGGGUUUAAAGGGUGCGUAGGUGGGUCUGUAAGUCAGUGGUGAAAUCUCCGAGCUUAACUCGGAAACUGCCAUUGAUACUAUAGAUCUUGAAUUAUCUGGAGGUAAGCGGAAUAUGUCAUGUAGCGGUGAAAUGCUUAGAUAUGACAUAGAACACCAAUUGCGAAGGCAGCUCUCAAAACUGUAACUGACGCUGAGGCACGAAAGCGUGGGUAUCAAACAGG
rnacentral:rRNA from 1 species